rnacentral:rRNA from 1 species
UACGUAGGGUGCGAGCGUUGUCCGGAAUUAUUGGGCGUAAAGGGCUCGUAGGCGGUUUGUCGCGUCUGCUGUAAAAACUCGGGGCUUAACCCCGGGCCUGCAGUGGGUACGGGCAGACUAGAGUGCGGUAGGGGAGACUGGAAUUCCUGGUGUAGCGGUGAAAUGCGCAGAUAUCAGGAGGAACACCGGUGGCGAAGGCGGGUCUCUGGGCCGUAACUGACGCUGAGGAGCGAAAGCGUGGGGAGCGAACAGG